rnacentral:rRNA from 1 species
UAGUCCGCACGAGCGCACCCCUAUCUUUGGUUGUCAGCAUUUAGUUGGAUACUCCAAAGAGACUGCCGGUGACAAACCGGAGGAAGGUGGGGAUGACGUCAAGUCAUCAUGGCCCUUAUGGGUAGGGCUACACACGUGCUACAAUGGUCGGUACAAAGGGUCGCCAACCCGCGAGGGGGAGCCAAUCCCAUAAAGCCGAUCUUAGUCCGGAUCGCAGUCUGCAACUCGACUGCGUGAAGUCGGAAUCGCUAGUAAUCGUAGAUCAGCAUUGCUACGGUGAAUACGUUCCCGGGCCUU